rnacentral:rRNA from 1 species
CCAGACUCCUACGGGAGGCAGCAGUGGGGGAUAUUGCGCAAUGGGGGAAACCCUGAUGCAGCGACGCCGCGUGAGUGAAGAAGUAUUUCGGUAUGUAAAGCUCUAUCAGCAGGGAAGAAAAAAGACGGUACCUGACUAAGAAGCCCCGGCUAACUACGUGCCAGCAGCCGCGGUAAUACGUAGGGGGCAAGCGUUAUCCGGAUUUACUGGGUGUAAAGGGAGCGUAGACGGCGAUGCAAGUCUGAAGUGAAAGCCCGGGGCUCAACCCCGGGACUGCUUUGGAAACUGUAUGGCUGGAGUACUGGAGAGGUAAGCGGAAUUCCUAGUGUAGCGGUGAAAUGCGUAAAUAUUAGGAGGAACACCAGUGGCGAAGGCGGCUUACUGGGCUUUAACUGACGCUGAGGCUCGAAAGCGUGGGUAGCAAACAGGAUUAGAUACCCCGGUAC